AGAAAGUAGAAGGAGCUCCAAAGGCAGUGAGCGUCUUUCCUUGGGCUGCGUGUGCCGAGCGUAGACAAUGAAAAUCUUCAUCCCCCUCCCCCAUUCUACUAGGCUACAAGAUUCUUGUUUUCGUUCCUUCUCACCGGUGGAAGAUGUGUAAAAUCAAAGAUGUAGAGGGGCGCAUUCUGGGGUCUCUGCGCAAGACCAGCUCUCAGCUCUCUCUCCUUUCCUCGGACUCUGGAGCGGGAGCGGGCCUUUCCCUCGGGUCGACCACGCCGUAGGGGACGCCGUGAAAAGAGCCGUCGCGCCCGCUGCCUCCUGCCCGCUGCGCAGAGGGCUCCGCCCGUAGAGGUCAACUUCCCUCACCCUUUUCUCUCUCCUGCUUGCCCUCCCUCCGCCCGGCCCAGGCGCUUCCAGCCCCAGACUGUGGCCACUGGCUGAGGAGUGCGAGUCGGCUGCGCUGCCCUGAGCCUAAUCCCUCUUCCGGGCCCAGACCCGAGGUCCGCGCUCCUGGGCAGUGGGGAAGCUUUAGUGAGCAGGCUUUUCUCUCCGCAGCAAACUUGUAGCCAGACCAGAUGGGCCGCCCAGCUCUCUCGGGACUAGGCAGGUGCGGAUGAGUUAAUUUUUCCGCAUUACAAAGAAAGAUGACCCA
rnacentral:lncRNA from 1 species